rnacentral:rRNA from 1 species
AUUGAACGCUGGCGGCAUGCCUUACACAUGCAAGUCGAACGGUAACAGGUCUUCGGAUGCUGACGAGUGGCGAACGGGUGAGUAAUACAUCGGAACGUGCCCGAUCGUGGGGGAUAACGCAGCGAAAGCUGUGCUAAUACCGCAUACGAUCUACGGAUGAAAGCGGGGGAGCGCAAGACCUCGCGCGGACGGAGCGGCCGAUGGCAGAUUAGGUAGUUGGUGGGGUAAAGGCUCACCAAGCCUGCGAUCUGUAGCUGGUCUGAGAGGACGACCAGCCACACUGGGACUGAGACACGGCCCAGACUCCUACGGGAGGCAGCAGUGGGGAAUUUUGGACAAUGGGCGAAAGCCUGAUCCAGCCAUGCCGCGUGCAGGAUGAAGGCCUUCGGGUUGUAAACUGCUUUUGUACGGAACGAAAAGUCUCCUUCUAAUAAAGGGGGAUCAUGACGGUACCGUAAGAAUAAGCACCGGCUAACUACGUGCCAGCCGCCGCCGUAA